AUAGCCCUCCACAAUGCUGGAUCUAAAAAGAAUAACAGAGACAGAGCGAAAAAGUCAAUAAAUUUGAAAUUGUUUAAAAACCAAUGACUCGAAAAAAUCCCACAAAAUCUCCUCAAUCAGCAAAAUUCAUCAUCAAUCACAGAAAUGCCAAGAAACUAGCGUAUGAGCUUAGUAUUAUGCACCUGCCGCUGGAAAUACUUCACUG
rnacentral:misc_RNA from 1 species